GACGAACCGUGCGAACGUUGUUCGGAAUCACUGGGCAUAAAGGGCGCGUAGGCGGGCCGUCAAGUCAGGGGUGAAAUCCUCCAGCUCAACUGGAGAACUGCCUUUGAUACUGACGGUCUCGAGUGAGGUAGGGGCGUGCGGAACUGAUGGUGGAGCGGUGAAAUGUGUUGAUAUCAUCAGGAACUCCGGUGGCGAAAGCGGCACGCUGGACCUUUACUGACGCUGAGGCGCGAAAGCUAGGGGAGCGAACGGG
rnacentral:rRNA from 1 species